UAUCCAUGGUGUGGGCAUUGUAGUAAAAGUAAUUUGAAGUGAUCCCAUGCUUCAUGAAAAGAUUCAAUAUCCUUUUAAUAAAAGUUGAAAAUUUUAGCCCUUAAUGA